rnacentral:sRNA from 1 species
CAUAUUUAAUGGCAAAAGAAAUGCUAACAUUUAGACUUUCCUGCUGUAGAAUCUGUUCGAAAUACCCCCAGCACUGACACCAUGCCAGCCUCUUCGUCUCAAACAUGCUGCACUGAUCACCAGGACCCUGAAGGUGCUACCAGCUCCUCUUACUUGGCCAGCUCCCAAGAGGAAGAUUCAGGCCAGAGUCUUCCCACUGCCCAUGUUCGCCCUUCCCACCCACUGAAGAGCUUUGCCGUGCCAGCAAUCCCGCCUCCAGGACCUCCCACCUAUGAUCCUGCAUUGCCAAGCACACCAUUACUAUCCCAGCAAGCUCUGAACCAUCACAUUCACUCAGUGAAGACAGCCUCCAUCGGGACUCUAGGAAGGAGCCGGCCUCCUAUGCCAGUGGUUGUUCCCAGUGCCCCUGAAGUGCAGGAGACCACAAGGAUGUUGGAAGACUCCGAGAGUGUAAGUUCGUGGGGCCAUCAGUCCAGCCAGAUUGCCUGGGAACAUGCCCCACGGCCUGAGACUGCUGGUCAAGCUGAUAUUCUGUGCAUACCA